rnacentral:rRNA from 1 species
UGGGGAAUAUUGCACAAUGGGCGAAAGCCUGAUGCAGCGACGCCGCGUGAGGGAUGACGGCCUUCGGGUUGUAAACUUCUUUCAGCAGGGACGAAGCGCAAGUUACGUUACCUGCAGAAGAAGCACCGGCUAACUACGUGCCAGCAGCCGCGGUAAUACGUAGGGUGCAAGCGCUGUCUGGAAUUACUGGGCGUAACGAGUUCGUAGGCGGUUUGUCGCGUCGUUUGUGAAAACCAGCAGCUCAACUGCUGGCUUGCAGGCGAUACGGGCAGACUUGAGUACUGCAGGGGAGACUGGAAUUCCUGGUGUAGCAGUGAAAAGCGCAGAUAUCAGGAGGAACACCGGUGGCGAAGGCGGGUCUCUGGGCAGUAACUGACGCUGAGGAACGAAAGCGGGGGUAGCGAACAGG